GCAGCCGCGGUAAUACGGGGGAUGCAAGCGUUAUCCGGAUUUAUUGGGUUUAAAGGGUGCGUAGGCGGUCGAUUAAGUCAGCGGUGAAAUUUAGGGGCUCAACCUCUACCGUGCCGUUGAUACUGGUCGGCUGGAAUGCGGAUGCCGUGGGAGGAAUGUGUGGUGUAGCGGUGAAAUGCAUAGAUAUCACACAGAACACCGAUUGCGAAGGCAUCUCACGAAUCCGCUAUUGACGCUGAGGCACGAAAGCGUGGGGAUCAAACAGGAUUAGAUACCCC
rnacentral:rRNA from 1 species